rnacentral:rRNA from 1 species
GAUGAACGCUGGCGGCGUGCUUAACACAUGCAAGUCGAACGGUGAAGCAGAGCUUGCUCUGUGGAUCAGUGGCGAACGGGUGAGUAACACGUGAGCAACCUGCCCCUGACUCUGGGAUAAGCGCUGGAAACGGCGUCUAAUACUGGAUAUGAGCUGCGACCGCAUGGUCAGCAGUUGGAAAGAUUUUUCGGUCUGGGAUGGGCUCACGGCCUAUCAGCUUGUUGGUGAGGUAAUGGCUCACCAAGGCGUCGACGGGUAGCCGGCCUGAGAGGGUGACCGGCCACACUGGGACUGAGACACGGCCCAGACUCCUACGGGAGGCAGCAGUGGGGAAUAUUGCACAAUGGGCGAAAGCCUGAUGCAGCAACGCCGCGUGAGGGAUGACGGCCUUCGGGUUGUAAACCUCUUUUAGCAGGGAAGAAGCGAAAGCGACGGUACCUGCAGAAAAAGCGACGGCUAACUACGUG